UUAGCCCGAGUGUAAAGAUUCUUAGUACAAUGGGCUUUAUUUUUAUUGAAAAUGAAACAAAAAAUGAAGAUGCAAAGAAAUAUUUAGAAAGCCAAGGUGCCAGAUUUCUUCCAGGAAUUUACUAGAAGUCACUACAGAAAGUAGUGAGAAGCUGGAACCGUUUGACACUGGAAUAUUCUCAACAAAAUAUUGUCAAUAGUGUUAACAGGCCUAAUAGUACAGCAUGCUACUGCAAGAAUGGUGUUGGAGAGAGUUGGAGACACUUUAAUGAACAAGAUAUGAAUGUAAUAUAUCAAUAUGUCAACUAAUAAAUAUUGCAGUUGCUAGAGAAGUGGUUUACAAUAUUACCAAAAAAGUACUUUUAUUUCGUUUUUUUCGUUUAACAUUUAUGACAUUGACACAUUGCAAAGUCCACUUCAACAAAGAUCUAGAUGAGAAACAUCAGAUUCUGUUAAACAAAAAUAUAUCUUAUUGCGUACGAGCUAGUAAUAAUCAUGCCUAACAGAUGAGUAGCCAUGUUUCCUUAGACUGGCACAGGCUUUCCAAACCAUUGGCACGAAUAUCAACUACAACUUGCACACUCAAGAACAUACUGUACAUUAAAAUUGUCCAGCCAAACUUGUUCAGGCUGACAAACAAAACCUUUAACUCACCUUUCUCGCACCCUCCAGUGUCAGGGCACUCUGUCUGCUGCUAGUGACUCUGCUUCCCUAAAGCUGCAUAUUGUAGUGCUUGCAAUCGGGGGGAAACCCACAGUGCCACUCGCCAAUCACUAGCUGAGGCGGGACAUAGCUGUGGCAAGUGGCUAUGGAUUGCUGUGACAUCACAAAGAAGGCGAAAAGGUUAAAGGUUUUAUUAUUUAAUCAGCCUGGGACUUUCUUUUUUUACUUUAAAGUUUGGAUGGACAACCCCUUUAAUAGAAAGAAAUUAAAUGUGAAUUCGUAGAAACCUUAGCUUGGCAUACACACCAAGGCACGUCUUUUAAUAAGCUAUAUACAAUAUGUAAGUGAUAAAUACAGAAUCUAUUAGAAUUUACUUUUUUAAUUAAAUGGUUUUAUUAAAAAGGCAAAUCUAUUUACUCAUGUAUGUUGACAUAUGCCGAUCCCAGUGUUGGAAAAACAUCUAUGGUGUACACACAAUGGAAAACAUCAGUGUGUCUAAACCUUACAUUGGGAAGAUCAGGUAAACUGACAAUACAGCGACCUGUUAAAAGCUGGUGUUGCCAACAGCUACUCAUGUCAACUUUACCAUUAACAUGCAUGCUUGGCUUAGUGUAUAUGUUGGUAUCAAUAGAAAAUAAACGGCCUUCAGGCUCCACUUCCCUUACAUGGGGCCAGUAGAUUGGCUCCUAUAAACAUGAAAUCCUUGCCCAUUUCCUUCAAUAUCAGCUAGUUUUGACUACGUAUGGCCAGAUGUACUUGUGUUACUAGAUGGAUUUCAAAAUGGCCUGUGACCUAUUUUGAAGGUAAAACCAUAAAGUCCAAUAAGAGUAAAAGGACUUCUUGAGAUCAGGGGUUACACGAUACCACAGUAUUUAUGUUAUUAGCCCAUAGGAAGUGGCCAAGUUCAAUUCUUCAAAAUGGCCUCCUUCCUUCUUUGUGUAGAGCAUGGGCAGCCUCCCGCUUUAGGUGCUGACUAAUAACUGGUGUUACAUAUGUUGAGAAACAAAAACUCCUUAAACCUCAAAUUCUCACAAUGUUACAAUGAAAGAAAUCUUUAUUGCAAACAACAAGCACAAUAAUAAGGCAAAAGAAAGGAUUUCCAGUAGUAGUAAACCAUGACCAUGCCAAGAUUAAAGAGAAAGCAUUUAGAGAUAACAUAUUCUGCAUUAUAAAAAUAUCCCAUGUAUUUACAAACACGACCUACGCAAACUAAAUUCAUGAUGACAAAGAAAAUGUAAGGAGUGGAGAUUAAGGGAGUUUUCCUUGCUGCAAAAGAAUAAAAUACUGAACAUACCAUUUCCAGUCCUGCUGUAUACCUUAGCGCAAUAGCUUGCUGAAUUAACCUUAUUUCCUUCAUAUUUAGAAUCUAUAUCUGACAAACCAAUAUUUACAUUUCCAAUGAAUAAUACCACAACUGGGUCAUCCCCUUCAAUGUUUGGAACCUGGAAUGUAUCAUACAAUAAAGUGCACAUGUAGCCUUGAUCUAGUGGAGGCAACCAACAUGCAUGGAGAAGAGGUAUAUCAAUUGACAUACCAUCAGAGGAAUUACUACAUCGCUGACUAUUCAGGAAAGAAAUUCAGUCUAUUACAUAUUUAAACACUCAUUUCUGAAUAAUAAAAAUGCUAUACAGAAUUAGAAAAACAUGGCUGCUUUCUAAAAACACAGACUCACCUAUCCAUGGAUUGUGUCCGAUACAUUGGCCCCUAAAGGUACAAUAUGUAUUUGGUUCCUGGAUGAACAUUGUAAAUUGAAACCAUUGUAUGUUGAGACCAUAACUCUAUGGAAACCUGGUAAUUGGUUCUGAAGCCCAAAAUGUCAACCACAAAUAGGAAAAAGUGAGGAUUAAAGAAAAUAAGUAGAUUAAUAUAGAUGAAGCAAGUUCUUACAUAUAAAAGUAAGACAGAACUGCUGGGAGCUGUAAAUUGCUGUCUAUAUAGAGGACAGAAGCUUCUUCAGGGUUGUACAGUACACGCAAUGUCCUAAUAAAUUAAAUGGAGUCGCCCUAACCUAGUGUUCACAGGAGCAGUGAACACUGGUACAGAUAAAUAGUAGUAGAGAACAUGUAAUACCUCCCUGUACUGUAGGAGGCGCUACCAGACAGUGUAUGCACUUCAGUAAUACAGGUGUUUUACCAGUGAAUGCCCAUUCUGAUUGGUCAGAUCUUCCAGCCAUUGACAUGUUUUGUAGAUCUGGACUGUCUGUAGAAUUGUAGGUUGAGUCUGGUUUCAAGUUACAAUAGUCCAGAAAAGACCAUUGUAUGUAGAAAAUAUUGUAACCUGAGGCCAUUGUAAGUUGAGGGACCACUGUAUUGCAGCCCAACAAGCACUGAAGAAAAUGUGACUAAUAUAAUAAAAUAUACAACCUGUGGACAGAUGUAGCAGUAUUUUUAGAAGAAAGACGCCAUGUUUUUUCUGAGCCAGUACUACUUUUAAAUGGAUUGAUCCGUUCGUACACAAAUUUACCAUACACAAUAUAACUGGGUUAACAGAUUUACAGAGUUUUGCCUUCAGUUUUCCAACAACAAACCAAUGGCAGAUAGUUUGCUAUCAAGUGGCAAAAUUGAGGUCAGGCAGAUAAAAUCCACUUAUCUCCUUAGUCAUUAUAUACUUUUAUCUGAAGGGUGAAUAAAAAGUCUCCACACAUGAACUGUCUUGUUGCCUGUACCACCCGUUCACAGAGAGCUUACAAUUUUACAGAGCUGUUAAAGAAGUUAAAGCCAAGCCCUGAUUGGUUACUAUAGGCAUUAAAGCCCAUUUAUGAUAAAUUAGGCCUAUGUAUGUAAACCCUAGAACAGAAUGGGAAACUUUUUAAAAGGAACCUGCCAUCAAUUUUCAAGCUACCGAACCACAAGUCAUCAGGGCGGUUCCGGUGGCUUCUGCGUGCCCCACCGGCCUUUACCUAAAACACAAAUGGGAGAGAUCUUCCUGAUGACAUGUGGUUUGGGAAGCCUGAAAGCGAUAACAGGUUCUCUUGAUGGUGGUAUUUAAAUUACAUGAAACUUCAUCCAGAAACCUGGCAAAAAAAUAGACUGAGAACCACAUAGGUCAAUAGAGGUCAUGAAUUAACAACUAGCGACCCAUGGAAAACAGAGGUUCCUUCAGAUUAGACCUGGAGGGUUGCCAGGGACAACAGCACUUUUGUUAUUUUCCCCAGUUAAAGCUUAGUUAAUACAGAUGCAGUUUGCAGAGAUACAAAUUGCAGUGGCACUGACCCUAGAUAUAAGGAAAACUACAAGCUAAGGUGUCUGUUCCUUAACUGCAGUAUCCUUAAAGGGGUACUCCACUGCCCUGGUGUCCGAAGUAUUUUGUGCUGAACGCUGGGUGCGGGCUAGGGGGUGUUGUGACAUCAUAGCCACGCCCCUCGUGACAUCACAUCACGCCCCCUCAAUGCAAGUCUAUGCAAGUCCAUGUCCCCUACCAUAGACAUGUAUUGAGGGGUCGUGGUGUGACGUCAUGACCCCCCGGCCCACAUCCAGCGUUCGGAACAAAAUGCUCCGAAUGCUGGGGCAGUGGAGUACCCCUUUAAAAAUCUUACACAGGCCAUGUAAAAAGCAGCACAUUACAUCAGCAUGACCACCCCAAUAUUAUACCGAGAACAAGUCACUUCAUCGUCGCAAUAAGAUGUGCAAAAUGAUAAUACAGUGCAAGAAAAUCUAAAGUAUUCUGUAUUAAAAUGAAAACCACAUGGAUGUUCUCACUAGAUCAAUUAAUGACAAUACAACUGGUUUACUUAAUGAUAAAAUAGCAGGACUAUAGCAGAUUAGGAUUAUUCUCUCCAGUGAGUCAACAGGUUUAAGAAAGCAUCAUGUUCACUCUACCACCUUGGAUGUGUAAGUAUGUGUCAGCAUUACAUAUCAGGAAUACGCACACUGCACUUAAGUAACAUUCUGGAUACAGCCAUUUUUCCUGUCUACCAAUAUAUUGCAUUAAAAAAACUUCUUCCUUCAGCUUUUUGUGCAGUAAACUACUUAAAGGGGCUCUCCCUUGAGGGACAUCUGUGACGUUCACACUUUUCGUAGAUAUGGCAGUUAGUGUAUCGUGCCCUGAUAAUCCACUGAAAAUGUUAUAAAUACUUAAAAUCAACGUCCCGCACAUUGUUAAACAUAAGAUAUCGGUGCUACACAUAUCCCCCACAAAAUUACUUUAGAAGGGAUAUUUUAGCAUCAGUAAUUAAAACAUAUUAAUUGCAUGGCGAAAAAUGUCGCAACUUUCUAAUACUACCACUAUUUGAUUUUAAUAAUCUCUGCCUGUUGUCAGUAUACAUCAGUGUUUUCCCAACCACGGUGCCUCCAGCUGUUGCAAAACUACAAUUCCCAGCAUGCCCGGACAGCCAACGGCUGUCCGGACAUGCUGGGAGUUGUAGUUUUGCAACAGCUGGAGGCACCCUGGUUGGGAAACAUUGGCAUACAUGAAUCUUCACUGCUUACUUCUAGGGAAUAAAGUUUUGUCCUGGUUACAGGAUGACACUUUACGGAGAGUUUUGAUGACUGUACCCGUCACACACCCACGUCCAGGACAGAUUUCUAUUCACCAGAAAUACACAAUGCCGGUAAACAUUCAAUGACUGCAAUCAGAGAUCUUAAAACUUGCAAAGAUGACAGCAUUGCAUAUCAAAAUAAACAAGCUUGUUUUAUUGCAACCAGAAUAACCCUUAAAUGGCCAGUCAUUUGGAAAAACUAUCUUUAGAUCAGGUCACGUGAUGGAGACAAACUCAAUGUAAGUCUAUGAGCGUGUUCCGAUCACGUGACAUGGAGAUGGGAGAGGAACAAUCGGCAGCACAGACUUCUACCGCCUCGUUUUCCUUCUGGGUGGAGGUCUGAAAACUCAGACCCCCGCCAAUCAAAAGUCAUGACUUGUCACUAAGUUUUUCCAUAUAACAGGUACUCUGUUUCAGAUAUUACAUUACUGUUCACCUGUACACAAGACAAUCCCCUCCGUAACAUGCACAAUAUUGAUAUUUAUACAUCUUCCCAUUUCCUUCAUUAAAAACAUAUUGGUAGAGAGAAAAAAAAAAAAGCAUCUCCAAAUGUCCUUUAUUAUUAGAUUUUAUGUCCCUUUGAACAGGUCACCACAGAUCUGUGAAUCCCACCGACACAAACCAUUUAAAAUACUAUGAAAACAUUUUAGUGUUGAUAAUUCAGUUUUUUUUUAGUCAAGGGAACAAGACAACAUUUAAAACAA